rnacentral:lncRNA from 1 species
GGUCCCUCCCAACCCAAACCACUCCAGGACUCCACAACCCCCAUCAAAGAUGGAAUUGUGAGCGCAUCUCCCAUAAUUCCUGCGAUUCCCAACCUUUUCCUCGCAGAGAACCCGGGAGGAGCAGGGGAGCAGAGCUCCUGCCCACCGAGGGAUGCUCCAGGGAGUGGAAAACCCACGGAGCACACGGAACCCAGGACAGCAGCCCUGGCAGAGCCGAAGCAGAGCCCCAGGACGAGGCAGGACCCUCCUGACUCCGCCAACUUUGGACCCCCCUGCCCUGCCCAGCCCAUCCCAUCUCCACCCCCGGCCGAACCCACCCCUGGCAGGGACACUGAGGCGAAGGAUCCCAGCCCCACCAACUCCCUGCCAUGGCCAGAAGCUCCCGAGGAACUCCCAGCCCGCCCCAACACCCUGGACUUCUCCAAAUCGCUGAAGAAGCUGGAGGAGGUGAAGCAGGCGGGGCAGCGGCGGGGCAGCGAGCAGGCAGCGGUCAAGGAGAACGGCCUGGGGGCCACUGUGGCCACCAGCACGGCCACCACGGCCACCAGCACGGCGGGGGACGGCCACCACGGCCACCAGCACGGCCAGCAGCACGGCCAGCAGCGAGGAGCACCGCGCUCUGCAGUCCGAGCUGGGCAGGUGCAUCGAGGAAUUCCGCAGGAUAAAAAUCCCCGUGGCUUUUCCCAACAAGAAGAGGCAGUGGCAGAGUGAGCUGCUGAAGAAGUACCAGCUGUGAGAGGAGAUCCCACGGCAGGGAAUGAGGUUCUCCAGCUGUUCCAGCUGUGGCACAGCUGUGGCUCCCACAAGGAGGAGCAGAGGUGGCUCCUGAAGCCCAUCCAGAUGUUGGAAGGGUCUCAAGCCUGUUCCCACCAUCGAGGGGAUGCUCCGUGUCCUCAGAGACACAGGCACAGCUGGAAGGGGCAGGACGAGGAAGGAUGGCCGGGGUGAUGUUCAGGACCAGCAGAAAUUCCCACAUUUCUGAAUUUCCCUGGCGUUUCCAACAAUAAAAUCGAGUUGGUGUCCGAAAUGAGCUCCAGUCUCAUAGACACAGGAAUAGGAAUAACAGUUCUUCACUAGGAAAAUUAAAAUAGAAAUGCAGUAUUACAAAGAACAAUCCCAAACCCUGCCAGAGUCAGAAUCCAAGCUGACACCCGUCAGUCAGUCAGGGUGCUGGCAGCAGUCCCAUUCAAUGGUGGCUGCAUCCUCCUGCAGGGGCAGAUGUGGUUCAGCUGGAGCAGGGCUCCUGGAGAAGGUGCAGUUUCCUCUGAAGCUCCAGGGAUGAUGUGGGGGGGGGGGGGGGGGGGGGGGGGGGGGG